GACGGGGGCCCGCACAAGCGGUGGAGCACGUGGUUAAUUCGAUGCAACGCGAAGAACCUUACCUGGUCUUGACAUCCCGGAGACCCUUAGGAAACUAGGGGGUGCUUCCAUCUGGAAGAAUCUGGAGACAGGUGCUGCAUGGCUGUCGUCAGCUCGUGUCGUGAGAUGUUGGGUUAAGUCCCGCAACGAGCGCAACCCUUGCCUUUAGUUGCCAGCAGUUCGGCUGGGCACUCUAAAGGGACUGCCGGUGUUAAACCGGAGGAAGGUGGGGAUGACGUCAAGUCCCCAUGGCCUUUAUGACCAGGGCUACACACGUACUACAAUGGCCGAUACAAAGGGCAGCGACACUGCGAGGUGAAGCCAAUCCCGUAAAAUCGGUCUCAGUCCGGAUUGGAGUCUGCAACUCGACUCCAUGAAGUUGGAAUCGCUAGUAAUCGUGGAUCAGCAUGCCACGGUGAAUACGUUCCCGGGCCUU
rnacentral:rRNA from 1 species